CGUGCCAGCAGCCGCGGUAAUACGUAGGGUGCGAGCGUUAUCCGGAAUUAUUGGGCGUAAAGAGCUCGUAGGCGGUUUGUCGCGUCUGUCGUGAAAGUCCGGGGCUUAACCCCGGACCUGCGGUGGGUACGGGCAGACUAGAGUGCAGUAGGGGAGACUGGAAUUCCUGGUGUAGCGGUGGAAUGCGCAGAUAUCAGGAGGAACACCGAUGGCGAAGGCAGGUCUCUGGGCUGUAACUGACGCUGAGGAGCGAAAGCAUGGGGAGCGAACAGGAUUAGAUACCCUGGUAGUCCAUGCCGUAAACGUUGGGCACUAGGUGUGGGGACCAUUCCACGGUUUCCGCGCCGCAGCUAACGCAUUAAGUGCCCCGCCUGGGGAGUACGGCCGCAAGGCUAAAACUCAAAGGAAUUGACGGGGGCCCGCACAAGCGGCGGAGCAUGCGGAUUAAUUCGAUGCAACGCGAAGAACCUUACCAAGGCUUGACAUGUUCUCGAUCGCCGUAGAGAUACGGUUUCCCCUUUGGGGCGGGUUCACAGGUGGUGCAUGGUUGUCGUCAGCUCGUGUCGUGAGAUGUUGGGUUAAGUCCCGCAACGAGCGCAACCCUCGUUCCAUGUUGCCAGCACGUAAUGGUGGGGACUCAUGGGAGACUGCCGGGGUCAACUCGGAGGAAGGUGAGGACGACGUCAAAUCAUCAUGCCCCUUAUGUCUUGGGCUUCACGCAUGCUACAAUGGCCGGUACAAUGGGUUGCGAUACUGUGAGGUGGAGCUAAUCCCAAAAAGCCGGUCUCAGUUCGGAUUGGGGUCUGCAACUCGACCCCAUGAAGUCGGAGUCGCUAGUAAUCGCAGAUCAGCAACGCUGCGGUGAAUACGUUCCCGGGCCUUGUACACACCGCCCGUCAAGUCACGAAAGUCGGUAACACCCGAAGCCGGUGGCCUAACCCUUGUGGGGGAGCCGUC
rnacentral:rRNA from 1 species